rnacentral:rRNA from 1 species
GACGAACGCUGGCGGCGUGCUUAACACAUGCAAGUCGAACGGUAAGGCUCCAGCUUGCUGGGCUACACGAGUGGCGAACGGGUGAGUAACACGUGGGUGACCUGCCCUGCACUUCGGGAUAAGCCUGGGAAACUGGGGCUAAUACCGGAUAGGAGCGCACCGUGCGGGUGUUGUGGAAAGUUUUUUCGGUUUGGGAUGGGCCCGCGGCCUAUCAGCUUGUUGGUGGGGUAAUGGCGUACCAAGGCGGCGACGGGUAGCCGGCCUGAGAGGGUGGACGGCCACAUAGGGACUGAGAAACGGCCCAGACUCCUACGGGAGGCAGCAGUGGGGAAUAUUGCACAAUGGGCGGAAGCCUGAUGCAGCGACGCCGCGUGGGGGAUGACGGCCUUCGGGUUGUAAACUCCUUUCACCAUCGACGAAGGGUCUCUGACGGUAGAUGGAGAAGAAGCACCGGCUAACUACGUG